CACCUAAUAAGAGUAAAGGCAAAGAGCCUCUCAAGCACUGUGAAAAAUCACUUUCUCUUGUUGUAUUCUUGGAGCCCCUGCUAAUUCAUUAUUGAAAAAUACCUGCUGCCUGCAUUUGGCCUUAUGUUGUCAUUUACUUGGGUCUGUGCAUGGCGUUUAGAAGGCUACACCUUAGGCUGGGGGUCAAGAAUGUCUUCCCUGAUGUGAGGUUUACACAGAGAUCUGAAGAAUGAAGAGUCCAGCUAAGUACUUCCUAAGCGUGGCUACUCCAAUGAAGCUUUAGUAUAUGUACUGAAAGAAGAUCCUCUCAUACUGCCACAGCCAAGAGAUAAGGUUGUAAAUCUUUAUUGGGAGAAGCCGUCAAGGACAGUUCUGUGAAAUGAAAGGAUCUCUGGAUCACCACAAAGUCUGGCUCAGUGACUAUGGCUUUGCAAACACUAAACAUUCCUGUCUCAAGUCCUGUAGAUGGCUUGAAAUAGUAUACAUAAGCAUGCCUUAUAAACAUCUUCAGUCUUUAUCAACUCUUUGGAGAUUCAGCCAUUCUUUUUUGUACUUUAGGGAAUUAAAUCAUUUUAUAAUGUAU
rnacentral:lncRNA from 10 species